GUGAGGAAUAUUGGGCAAUGGUCGGAAGACUGACCCAGCCAUGCCGCGUGCAGGAAGACGGCCCUCUGGGUUGUAAACUGCUUUUAUCUGGGAAGAAAAAGGCCAUGCGUGGCAAAUUGCCGGUACCAGAUGAAUAAGCACCGGCUAACUCCGUGCCAGCAGCCGCGGUAAUACGGAGGGUGCGAGCGUUGUCCGGAUUUAUUGGGUUUAAAGGGUGCGUAGGCGGCUGAUUAAGUCAGCGGUGAAAGACUUCGGCUUAACCGGAGCAGUGCCGUUGAUACUGGUUGGCUUGAGUGUCGGAGGGGUACAUGGAAUUGAUGGUGUAGCGGUGAAAUGCAUAGAUACCAUCAGGAACACCGAUAGCGAAGGCAUUGUACUGGCCGACAACUGACGCUGAUGCACGAAAGUGUGGGGAUCGAACAGGAUUAGAUACCCGUGUAGUCC
rnacentral:rRNA from 1 species